rnacentral:rRNA from 1 species
UGGGGAAUAUUGGACAAUGGGGCGAAAGCCUGACCCAGCGACGCCGCGUGAGGGAAGAAGGUCUUCGGAUUGUAAACCUUUGUCAACAGGGACGAAGCAAUGACGGUACCUGUGAAGGAAGCCACGGCUAACUACGUGCCAGCAGCCGCGGUAAUACGUAGGUGGCGAGCGUUAUCCGGAUUUACUGGGUGUAAAGGGUGAGUAGGCGGGAAGGCAAGUCAGAUGUGAAAUGCAAUGGCUCAACCAUUGAAUUGCAUUUGAAACUGUUUUUCUUGAGAGUCGGAGAGGUAAUCGGAAUUCCUAGUGUAGCGGUGAAAUGCGUAGAGAUUAGGAGGAACACCAGUGGCGAAGGCGGAUUACUGGACGACAACUGACGCUGAGACACGAAAGCGUAGGGAGCAAACAGGAUUAGAUACCCUGGUAGU